UUCUUUCGCAUGAUAUUAGGAACUACAUUUCUUCUUGGCGGAGAGCUACAAACUGGCGCGCGGGGCUAUAAAAUGCCGUGUGACGUUCUUCUCGACGGAACUUCUCGCAGGGACGUGCGCUGGAGAACGCGGCCGCGUGUCUGCGAUAAGUUCCCACCACCACCUCCCGCCCCCACGGCGCGACUACCCGCCUGGAUGUCGACGUCCGCUGGAAGGGAGUGAGUUCUCGGUGGUCGCAGUAAUUGCGUAUUUGUAUAUAAAGUAUCGCUAUUGUAAAUAGUCCAUCGCCCAUUGUACAUAGCCAUAGUCAUGAAAUUAAACUUAAUAAAUUAUUGUCGAAUUGUGCAGUCCAUAAUUUUAUUGUCGCUAAGCGGCCGCCAUCUUGGAAGGCUUAGCGUAGUUAAAACAUGGCGUCGUUCGGAUCCUCUUUAGGCCUAACACUUACGCGUCGUACGACUGAUGUUGCGUCAUCUCAAACUGCAGCUUGUUGUCCUAAUGAUCGCAUUUCUUUGCUGGUUCGUGCAAUGCUGAAAUUCAUUGUUGUACUGCUUUUCGCCCAAAUUUUAACUCUUCGCGUCGUUGCGGCCACUUACUUGCAUUUCUUUUGUCUGUAGGUGACUAUGAUCGAGUGCAGGGUAAAGGGUUCACACAGUCGUCGCUACGGUUAAUUUGAAGAAUGGAUUACUUGCUUGGUUUGCAAUAGAUAUCCCAAGCAGAAGAGACCUACCAGCGCCCUUUCGUUUUAAAUGACUUGCGUUUCAGGAUAGAGGCUUUCAUGAGUGACCACCAAGGGAACAACGAUAAUUAAGCAAGUGAACGCACAGACCCCAGCGGUUCAAAAGGAUCGCCGGAAAAUGAGCGCAUUUGAAAUGUCGACUUCACUGCACUACCAUGAUCGCUGCACGUCGGCCACGCUGUCUCCAUUUCACUCCAAACUUCACUGGGUUUGCCCGUUCCUUUUUCUAGUUUUGGCAUGGCAUAGAUUAAUCCUCGACUGAUUUGCUCAUAGCAUGGUUACAGCUGUUCAUCUGUUUACCCAUUGUAAUUGCCAGUUCAUUAUGUUCGAGGCUUGCUGUUAUCCUUAUACAAUUUGCGUUAAGCAGGCAUAAUUUUGCAUAAGUUAAUUUCACACAUUAAUGGUUGCCAUUGCCACUUCAUAAAUAAGGUGAAUUAUUCGAAAAAUCUGAUGCUUGCAUUUUGCUUCCGAUUUUUCUUUCCCAUUUCUAUAGCUCCACCAAGGUCAGUGUUCAAAAAAAAAAAAAAAGGAAAUCUCCACAGCACUUCACUCAAAGAAAGCCCAAGCAGGAUAUUGAAAACAAGAAAGCAUUUUCAAGGGAAAAGUUCUGGGUUUGACGUUUCACUUGAGCCUACAGAAGCCACUGCAGUUUCAAAGGAAAGCAACACUGAAGCAGGCGGUUAAAGUUCAAAGCUAUGAAGCAUAGAUCGUCUCGACCCUCUCAACUCCUAGCAAGUUAAUGGGACUUCACGUGGGUUGCAAGUUAAGUAUGUUUUCGCUUGGAAGAGUUUGGUAUUAAAAGUUAUGUUCAAGUUCACGUAUUCAAGCUUUGAAGUAUACAGUGCCGAAUUCUCAAGCUGCACAUUGGAGUUUGUGCAUACAAGCUAGAAGUGUAGUGUCCAGUUUUCAAGUUGAGUGUGCUCAAGCUAUGAAGUAUACAGUGCCCAAUUAUGAAGUUGCACAUUCAAGUUAGUGCAUUCAAGCAAAGUAUCCAGUUUACAAGUUUGUACACAAGCUAUGAAGUUGCACAUUGAAGUUAGUGCAUUCAAGCAUUUUCAAGUUUCCUGUUCAAGUUAGCAAAGUAUACAGUGCCCAGGUUGCAGUAUGUUCAAGCUGUGAUGUGCCGUUCAUGUAUUCAAGCUGCAAAAAUACAUUGUCCAAGUUUGAAGAAAUUUUUUAUCAAGCUCUGAAGUAGGACCUUUCACAUACAAGCAUGAAGUAGCCAAAGUUCCAAGAUUUGCCAUUCAAGUUGAAGGGGGGUGGGGGGUGACUUACGAAGGAAUUUACUUAUGCAUACAGCCCAAGAAAUCUGAGAGCAAGGCAAAGUAGGUUGUUCGUCUAUCAAGUGCCAAGAUUGACCUCGAAGAAAAGCAGAUUUGCCAGCUAGCAAGUUUCGCCACGUUGCAUUGGAAUUGGUUUGCUCUUUUUAUAUCUUAUGUAGGAUUUGCUAACGUAAUUACUUGUGCUGCUUUAGGCUAUUGAAGCGAAUUUGUGUAGUGUUUUGGUACUCAGAUCAAUUGCAGCAGCACAUAACUCGGUGCUAGGCACAAAGCCCAAGAGUUGGAGGCUCAAGCACGUUUGUUUUGCAGGUAUUCGUGGUCGAGGCCAGACAAGAUUAGUGUCUAUUGGGAUGGCCUUUAAUGAGAUCAAGGAAUCUUGCAUUAACAUCCAACUGUGGGUGUUCGGGCGUAGGUCCUGACAAUUUCGCGCCCCCAUGGUUCACAGGUAUCCGUGAGUUCUGUCCUGCCUUGUCGUUUCCCUGUAAUAAUCCUGCGCUCAAUUGUUUUAUUUACGUGAGUUUCGUCGACGUCUUAACUAGUGCUCGCAAAUCAUUUCCCCCCUUUUGUUUUCUCUCACUGCGUUUCUGGAAAGCUCAUUUUUCGGCCAAAUCUUGCUCCUUCUGUAGCAUGUCGUGUAGAUUUGCUCUUAGCGGGGGUGGGAAGGGGCGUGUUGUAUGCUUUGCUUUUGAGCCAUUGCAGCUAACUAGGUACUACACCUCGCACACCUCACCCGGAUGACAUAGACCUUCCUAGUGACACCAACACUGCUGCGACUCUUAUUCACGUGGUUCACCGUGGCCUGGAGCCCCUGCAUUUGCUUUCUUCCAUUCUGCCUGGUGCGCCGUGAUCUUGUUUUCAUUGUCUUAAGCUGCACGGAAAGCCUUUAGUAAGCCGUUUGUGAAUGGGGGUUUUGGUUCUUCCUUUAUAAUUGCACGGAUUGUUGCACAUAACGACCAACUGCAAAUUGUGCAAGAGCUUUGCUUGUUUUUCGGAUUGGGUAUUGCAACGCUUUAUGAUGCUUUCAAUGGUUGUGCAGGUCGGGGGGGGGGGGGGCUGUGUAAUUGUGCAGUUAUUGCAAGUUUGCAGUUUCACCUGCAUUUGAGCACUUGGACGCAACCUGCUGUAAGCAUUGCAUGUAAUUUCUGAGCACUUGUCUUACCUUAUGGGUGAGGGGGGGGGGGAGAGUUGAUGGAGCGUGUUUUUGCAGGAGCUAGGUGUUCAUUGGCGUAAAGGAGGUCUGGAGCUAACCCUACUGCUGUGUCAGCAGCCAUGAUUCUUGCGGGUAAGGGGUUAGGGAGGUGGGUAAUAGAAUUUUGUGGAAGUAGGCAUGCAGUGCUGACAACCCUGUCAUAGACGGAAGCUGGAACCAAGAGCUGCUGUUGUAAGCUUUUUAAUUUUUUGUUCCUUUGGGGUGGGGAGAGGGUUUUUAAGUUUUGUCCUAUGCGCCCUACAGUGAGGUGUAAGCGGCAGUGCUGUCUGCACAAGAGGAUCAAACCAUGAAUCGCCGAAUUGGGUACCACCCGGAUUGCGUAGUUGCCUUACCGUUAGUAGUACGUGAGUGGCGUUUGUUUUUUUUUUUUUGUGUGCCGUGCGUGCUUGGGAGGGGGGGGGGGUGCAUGCGUCCUUGCAGUUCCGUGCCGACCACCCCCUAGCUUCCUUCGUCGUAUGUGGUGCUUCUCUACUGGCUGGCUGGCAAAAGCGGGACGCGGAUCCCGGUGUGCAAGUUUUCGGGUCUCUUGAGAGCCAUCGCCGAGAUUGGUGCAGGGAGUACCGCUGUAGACCUUGACAUUUCUGGCUAUUGCCUCUUCUCUCAUCCUGUGGUUUUGGGCCCACCGCUUAUAUUAUCGUUGGAAUGCGUGCGCGCCUAGGCGGGGAGUCGAGAAAAACCCCUGUUCCUCCCGGUGGCCGAGCCCUGGUUCCUUAACGCUACUACUGGCCCUGGAGCACCCUUGCCCACCUGCUUGCCGCGAAGACGAAAAGCCGCCGCCGCCCCUUGUACCAAGCUUCUCGACCGGGCUGCUAAACAAAAAAAGGCAAUUUCUACCUCUUCCUGCUGCGUGUGUUGCUUGCCGGCCGUCCCCGCUACGAGGACACGGUGGUGUGCACGUGGUUACCCUCCCUCCGAAGGUUUGCCAGAGGGCUUUUUUUUUUUUUUUUUUACACCUUCUGCUCUUGAUGGGGCUGUGUUGUGGGGCUUGUGUUUAAAAAAAAGGGGGGGGGGGGUGGGAGCUGUUGGCAGUUUCUUUGUGGGAAGUUUUGUGCGGGAUGUAGCUAGCCUGUGUGUGAAAUAUGGGAGGGGGGGGGAGGGAGCGACUACGUUUGGCAGGUUACUGUGCUCAUCAUAGAGUAAGGUUAGUCAGGCAGCGUUGCGUUACGGUGGGUGUGGGAAGCGGGCGUUUUCUUGCAGCUCCUGGCGUGAGUGGUGACGUGUGUGGCUAUGCGGUGCCGUUGCGCGGGUGAGAGGCGUCUCGUUCCGGGCGUGGCUGUGUCAAGUCCGCAUUUGUGUGCCGCGAUGCCUUCCGACCGAGAGGCAGAGAGCAAGGCGAUUCGUCGAGGGUCCCGCUACAGCUGGGGUUCGAGCGAGGGUAGCCGCCGGCAGGUCCCGGCUUCUUCGGAGGGUGUGCGUCCGCCUCUUCGUCGGGGCGGUCGUCGGUCUCCGCGGUGUCCGGUUCCUGUGGUUCCCGUGCUUUCCCGGUGUAGUGUGCGAGGACUGUCGGCGACGCGUCUUCGUGCGGGUUGAGGCGUGCCAGGUUCUUCCCCCUUCCGUCGUUGGAUCGUCGUCGUCGUCGUCGUAGCGUUAUCAGCUUCCCGCGGUGGAACUCUUCGGUGCGUUACCCCCCUCCUGGAGAGAGCAUCCCCAAGAUGGUUUCUUUCCCCUGCCGUGAGUGCCCCAGCGUGGCCUCAUUGGCGUCAUCGCCGGCCUGCGGGCCUAUCGCCUAGUUCAACCGAGAUGUCAUCGCAGCUACCUUGUAAUUGGAAGCGCUUCAUUGCCUAACUCAACCGAGAUGCCAGCGUGCAUAGCCGAACUGAGAUGUGGCAGCUACCCUAAAUUGCAAGUCCUACGUGCCUAGCCCAAUGAAAACGUUACCGUAACAUUAAGCAAGUCCGCCAACUAGUACAAGUCAAGUUGGAUUCACUAUCGAUUUCAAGUUCUGCAUAUUUCCCUGCUAAUUGUGUGAAGAGGCGUGAGCACCCAAGAAAAUAGCAAAACAUAUUAAAUCUCCGUUAAUGGUGCAUUGUCAUGAAUAUGAAAAGCAUUUGGAGUUGAAAGCUAAAGAUGCAAAUAUUUUUGUCCACUUAUGCUUUGAAGAGCCCGGAUGUUCCUAGUUUUGAAGCCGCUUUGUUCAAAUACCUGAAAAUUUGUGCUCUAAGCCGCCUAUUACAAAAUUGCUAUCUUUAUAAAAUGCUUAAACGCCACCAUUUUUUUACAAAAAACUAAAACUACUUCAUAAAUUAUGUGCACAACUGCAACUACUAAUGCCAACUUGGAUCUCGCAAAUGCCAACACUGUUGUCGGGAUUAUGAAGUACACAUUCAUUGGGUAGCAGAAUUACCUGAUGCUCGAGGCGCUUAUGUGGAAGUUUGAAUUUCUUAUCUGGAGAAAUGAGGCAGUGCAAUUAUAGUGUCGUUUGCCCCUUGAUGCAAAUAGCUUCCAAUUGUUGGACUUGAGAAGUUCUUCUCUUAUGUUCUCUGUGUUCAUGUUCCAUUCAACAGCAGUAACAUUACCUUGACCAUGUUCAUGCAUUCUGAAUAUUGCUGUAGGUAUGUUUGUACAUUCCACCUCAUAAUUGAUCAGUACCACUUCAGCUUCUUGCCGAUUGCCACCAAUAUGCAUUCAGUUGCUGGUUUGUUAUAUUGCAAGCAUGUAAGACAAUUUAAAGAGCAAGAAAGCUCUUCAUGUAAACCUAUCAUCCUAGCAUUUAUUAAUGCCAUGUGCCAUAGUCUACAUGUCACGUUAGUACUUCAAAACAUGCCAUCAAAGUAUGAUGCACGAUGUUAAGGUAACAUUUUGUUAGAUUUUGCUGCUAGGUGCAUCAGACAUGUUGACCAACCAUUUACUGAUCUACAUGAAGCAUUGUACUUCCCGCUAGGUGGAGAGAAGGGCCGAUGUCUCAUUUUCCAUUUAAUAUCAAUCCAUUUAUUAAAUAACGUGCUUUUUUAAGGCCUCAUGCCAUCUCCAAGCUUGUAUAAGCAUACUAAAAGUUCUCGCCUAAAACCGCAUGCCCAGAUUUUGCAUGUAAUUUGCUGAUACCCUGGCCAUUUUCUAGAAGUUAUAAUAGGGCAGCAUAACAUUGACAUAAACAUAUUUGCGAUAGCCAUUUCCUCAUAGCAAGCCAUACAUUCUUCUAGACUGUAGAAGUAUGUUGAUAAAGUUAACUGUGAACAGUAAUUAGUAUUACUUGACUAGUUGUGCGUUUGAACACUGAAAAAUAAAUCUCAUUGUUAGGGCAGUCUUGCAUACCUGAAGUAGAAUGCGCUAAAAAAAGUUCAGUAUGGUAAAUGCAAUUGCAUGCAAAAGUCCAAUCCUUGCCUAACAAUGUCCGAUAAUAGGUGGUAAUGACAUUUAAUACUCGUAGAAUGCUACUGCUGGCAAUGAAUUAGAUCUGAUGUAAUUCCAAACAUUUGCACAUUCCAAACUGUCAUCCUGAUAUUUGUCCGUGGAGCGUCUUGCUGCAUUUUCAAUAAUUUAACAACGGUCUUCGCACGUUUUUUCGAAUACUUUGUAUACAUAUAUACUGAAGCAGUUGAACGUGAGAGCUUUCUGUAGAUCUGAAGUGUUGCCAAUUUUCGUACAAUUCUGUGAAGGUUUCCGGAGAACAUUGAUAAAUUCGGCGUCUGAGACAUGCUUUGCUAUUCAUGAGGUUUUGCAUUUUAUGCAUUGAGCAAUUUAAUGCUUGCAGCAGGUGAUUUAAUUAUACCAGUGAUAACAUCUUUCAUUUAUUCCAUCCAAAGCUUUCCUUCGCAGAAUGUCAAUCCUGUUUCGACUACAGCAUUGCAAGGCAUGCUGAAUGCCAUGUGGCACACAUCUUCUAUCAAAGCAUUUUUAAAUGUAUGAUCUUAGACUGCAUUAACAAACGUUGCUGUAAAUAAGUUCAAUAAAAUAGAUUCCACAAAAGAAAGCCUAUAAAAAGAAAGCAAAAAAAUCAAAUGCGAAUAACAUGGCUAGUGGAAAAGUGGUGUGGAAUCCGGGGCAGGUGCCAGGGGAGAAGGGAGCCUGCCAGAAAAAAAGCUCUAUUCACAGCAACGUUUUGGCUGUUGUCCUGUAAGCAGUGGAUAAAUACUUAGCAAAAUGAAAUAAAGAAUCUUUAAACCAGUUAUACACAGUUGCCAGAGUGUUAUUUACCAGGUGCAGGCCAGAUGGCAGCAUUUGGGCAUUUGCCCCUAGACGUUCUUUGCUCAGCCACUGCCCUUUGCAGUAGAUUGUGCAAGGGCGUUCUGGGAAUGCCAGCUUGAAUCCAUGACCCCCUUGAGACUCGUUAACCUCAUUCAUGCUCUUUUAUUGGUUCAGUUGAAAAGGGGUGUUGGAUUGAAGCCUGUGCUCUUGCAGGUGCUAGUCUUUUUUUCUUUAUAGUGAGCCCUGAAGAUGCUGCAUAAGUGUUAACUGGAGACACUGUCGUGGUUUGAUCAAUGGUAUAGUAUGAAUUUUGUACUCUGGUUAGGAAGUUCUUAACUUUCUGGUUUUGGUGCAAAAUGUUACCAUAGUAAAUUCGAUGGCUCUGUGUAGUAGAUAUCAAGUGUUAACUUCUAUUACACAGCAUAGCCACCAUAUCUUGUUUAAUUGCUGAUGUUUUUAUAGGAAUCUCUCUAUACUUCAAAUAUACAUAUACAUGCAGUUGGUAGAUGUCUGCAGAAAAUAGUUAUUGCACGCAUUUUAAUAACUGAAUUAUUUUAUAAUUGUUUAUGGGUGAAUAUACUGCUUAAAUAAUUGCAGUUAGUCUCUGCUCUUUACGGGUUUGUGAAGCGAUUUUCAAUCACUUUAUGUAACCAUGUUUUAUAUGUGCCUGGGAAAUGGCAUUUUUGUGGUCGGUUUAGAUGCCUGCUGCGUCAACAUUAACAGCCUUGACAUGUGGCUCAAGAAAGACGCUGGCUCGGAUGAGAUUGAGUGGUGUGCAUCCAGGGACAAUCUGCCAUGAGUGUGGAUGCUCUUGUUGAAGAGCAGUGUGGAAAUGAAUACAGAUUGGUCACUAGAGUAACAAUAAAGAGUGGGGAGCUUUAUUGGGUUUUCUUGUGUGACUGAAUCGUACCAGACUAGUCUUGGUGUGCAUCUUGCAGAGGUACGUACUGCUGCUGAUCUGAUGUGUGCAUUUGUGUGGUACAAGUUCAUCCUAGUACCCAAUUAAGCAAAAGGUGCAUCUGAUUGCAGUAAAACUGAUGGUGUGGUUUUGCAGUGCAUGGGAUACUAGUGUUCAUAGCCAUUGUGGAUCUAAGCAUUCUGGUCGAGACUGUGAAGUGGCACUAACGUGCAGUGUGAAUGUGUGAUAACACUAGUCGUACGUGAAUAAUUCACAAGGUGCGUGCCCUUGGGAAUGUUGGCAAUAAUAGGUAAAGCCAAGCAUGGAAGAUUUGUCCGGAAGAGAGUCGCUGUCUAUAGGGCUAUUUCAGAGCUAGUUGUGCACGGUGCUGUAUCUGUUGAGACAACCGAAUGUGCAGCCCCAGUUCCGCGAAGGGUAUACCUAAUAAUACUCUUAAAUUAAAAGUACGUACAUAUGGCCUAGUUAAUGAUUCUCUUUAGACAAGAAUGCAGUUCUAUGUAUGCGUUGCUUUGGAGUGGCUUGUGUGUUAAAUUCAAGUGCUCGGGUUCAAACCAAAGUGUCCAAUACUACAAUGUGUGACAAUUUGGGAAUUUAAGGGGGGGAAAAAUUGCAAGGUAUUAAGAUGUCGUUCGGAGUAUAUUCACGUGAAAAAGUGCUAGCUGUCUUGUAAUGACUAGCUUGCGUGUGGUUUGAAUGUUGGUAUGCCGAGCUACGAAAAAAAAAAUAUGAAGACGUCCAAAUAGCUUGUUUAUCUAUUACAAUAUAUGGAAUGAACAAAUUGCGAUGUUGAAGUGACAAAAUAUAUGUAAUUAGAAUUUGGUGAAAGAAUGUGGGAUGUUCAGCCUAAAGCAAUGCGUUCUUUUAAUGCAAUGUGCCUGAAAGUUGCUAGUGAGCUGUAAUAUAACGUGAGACUUACUUGGUUACUGUCUUCAAUGUGAAUAAAUUGAUUGAAGUUGCAUGCGUAAAAGUGAGUGGUACACUAGUUGUGCGAUAUGGAAUGUGAAAAUCGUGUCACCGGCAAAUAAUAAAUGUGCAGUACUUAGGUGCAGUACUUAUAAGCAUUGUUAUGAGCCUGAAAGAGGUUUGACACCAAAGAAGAAAAUUAGGGUGUGCUGAUAUCUGAAUGUGACAAGUUUGCAAUAAGGAUGGGGGAAAAAAGAAGUGAUGGGCUUGUAAUUUUUAGCUUGUGAUGAAAUGUGUCAAAGUACGAAAAAAUGAAUGCUGAGGCAUACAGGUGACCGUAUUUCAUAAGGUGAUCUCGAAGGUCUAUAAAAGUUUACCUUGUAGCCAGAAAAGAAAAUAUUCGGGCAAGUGUGCUUCUGACUGGCAAAUGUGACUGACUGGCAAGUGUGUCCCUCUGACUGGCGUGAGCAAUAAAACAUGCCUAAUGAAAAAGGUUAAUUGGCCAAAUAACUUUGUAUGGUCUCGUAAUGAUGACUAGCUUGAGCAAUGAGAUGUGUUCAUGAAAAAAGAUAUGCAAUGUGUGGUGAUAUUGGUUAAGAUGAACUGUGAUGAAGUCUUGACUAGUAGACUUUAAAAAAAAUUGCAGGCGAGUGUUCAGCAUGGUCUUAUAAUGGCUGGCUGGAGCGAUGAAACAUGCAUUCAGGAAAAGCAUGGGGUACCCUGUUGAGGUACACAAGUGGAAAGUAUGGUUUCAUAUUUGAUGUGUAAGUGAACUUUGAAAUAAUAGUGACUGGAAGUUAAGCUUGCAAAGAAGAGAUGGUGAUGGGUGUUGUACUUAUUCUGGUUGAGUGGAGAAAUGAAGUACCUGGUAUGGUCUUGUAAUCAUGACUCUCUUGAGCAAUGAAAUACGCACUGCGAAAAAGUUUAGAGCGUUAUACUAAAGUAUAAAAAUGUGGAAGGUGUGGUUUCAUAUU